UGUGUGAAGAUUUAAGUAACUUGUUCUGGCAUAAAGACGCCGCAGAAGGACGACGAGCGCUUUCAGAGGUGGAUCAAGAGGAUUGAAACUUUAUGAACUACUUGUUACUUAACAUUUAAGAUCCUGGAUGAUCACCUUCACACUUCGCCCCGUCACUUCGAUCCUGUCUGAACUUCAUCUUCUAACCCCUUGGAGCUGGUUGUGGCCACCACUGGUUUACAGCAUCUGGUGCGUCUGUUUGGAUCAGCAGGGGGAAGUUCAAACUGACUCACCGAGAUCAUCACAGCAGACCUCCAUGGAGUCCGAGGAGCAGUCACUCAGAUCAUCCAGCCAUUGAGGUCAGUGACGAACAUGGACAUAGAGUGGACGUGAAGACCAUCUGGCUCAGCUCAGCUUCAGGUGCACCGAUGGGACGAGCUGCACUGAAACAUCUGUUCUCUGGGGGAGACGCCGCGACAGCAACCCGCCACUCAACAACUGACGAGAUGGCCGCAGUGACGUAAAUUGCACACACACAAAACACACACACACACACACACACACACACACACACACACACACACACACACACACACACACACACACACA